AAGUGUUACAGGUCUUUUAGAAUUUGUCUAGCAGGUUUUCUGGUUUUCAUGGGAAAACUCCC
rnacentral:snRNA from 1 species